CCUACGGGAGGCUGCAGUGAGGAAUAUUGGUCAAUGGACGAGAGUCUGAACCAGCCAAGUAGCGUGAAGGAUGACUGCCCUAUGGGUUGUAAACUUCUUUUAUAUGGGAAUAAAAUGUUCCACGUGUGGGGUUUUGUAUGUACCAUAUGACUAAGGAUCGGCUAACUCCGUGCCAGCAGCCGCGGUAAUACGGAGGAUCCGAGCGUUAUCCGGAUUUAUUGGGUUUAAAGGGAGCGUAGGUGGAGUGUUAAGUCAGUUGUGAAAGUUUGCGGCUUAACCGUAAAAUUGCAGUUGAAACUGGCGGUCUUGAGUACAGUAGAGGUAGACGGAAGUCGUGGUGUAGCGGUGAAAUGCUUAGAUAUCACGAAGAACUCCGAAUGCGAAGGCAGCUCACUGGACUGCAACUGACAGUGAGGCUCGAAAGUGUGGGUAGCAAACAGGAUUAGAUACCCGUGUAGUC
rnacentral:rRNA from 1 species